rnacentral:ncRNA from 1 species
AAAAUUGAUAUUACAGUACUGAUACUCAUCCUUACUUCUCUUUUUUCUCCAAUAGAACUUUCUAAUUCAAGUGGGUCCUCGACGACUUCCAGAACCCAAAGAGGCAUGAAAUCACCAAUGGACGGAAGACCAAACUUAAACUAAUUUCUCGACAAACAUAAAUAAAAAUAAAAAAUAAAUGCCCGCUAAUAAUUUCUAAGUCAGUUCCUGAUACUGUGGUUUCGUUGCCUCCCAUUUUUUCUUUUAAAAUUGGCUUUAACAAUACAUUUCAUUUUGGUCAAUUGACCCUAUUCUUUUAUUUUUGAUUGGAUUAAACCUGUUAUGUCAUCUGACGGUGCAGGUUGAGAGACAUAAGUUCAUUUAUUUUAUUUUUUGCUCUCAUUUAGAAAUUGUCCCUAUCUACUAUCUAGCGAAACCACAGCCAAGGGAACGGGCUUGGAAAAAUCAGCGGGGAAAGAAGACCCUGUUGAGCUUGACUCUAGUCUGACUCUGUGAAGAGACAUGAGAGGUGUAGCAUAAGUGGGAGGCCGUGAACCCUCGCGGUUGUGUCGUGCCGGCAGUGAAAUACCACUACUUUCAUCGUUUCUUUACUUACUCGGUGAAGCGGAAAGCGGACCAUGAGUGUCCACGCUUCUAGCACUAAGUGCAAGGCCCUUCGUUGGCCCGCACGAUCUGUUCCGAGGACAGUGUCAGGCGGGGAGUUUGACUGGGGCGGUACAUCUGUCAAAUGGUAACGCAGGUGUCCUAAGGCGAGCUCAGCGAGGACAGAAACCUCGCGUAGAGCAAAAGGGCAAAUGCUUGCUUGAUCUUGAUUUUCAGUACGAUUACAGACCGCGAAAGCGGGGCCCCUCGAUCCUUUUGACUUUAAGAGUUUUAAGCAAGAGUGUCAGAAAAGUUACCACAGCGAUAACUGGCUUGUGCGGCAAGCGUUCAUAGCGACGUCGCUUUUUGAUCCUUCGAUGUCGCUCUUCCUAUCAUUGCGAAGCAGAUUUCGCAAGCGUUGGAUUGUUCACCCACUA